rnacentral:rRNA from 1 species
GGGUUGUGAGGUUAAGCGACUAAGCGUACACGGUGGAUGCCCUGGCAGUCAGAGGCGAUGAAGGGCGUGCUAAUCUGCGAUAAGCGCCGGUAAGGUGAUAUGAACCGUUAUAACCGGCGAUUUCCGAAUGGGGAAACCCAGUGUGACUCGUCACACUAUCAUUAACUGAAUCCAUAGGUUAAUGAGGCGAACCGGGGGAACUGAAACAUCUAAGUACCCCGAGGAAAAGAAAUCAACCGAGAUUCCCCCAGUAGCGGCGAGCGAACGGGGAGGAGCCCAGAGCCUGAAUCAGCA